ensembl:lncRNA uncharacterized LOC114440549
GUUAGGACCUGUCCCUCUGGUUAAGACUACCUAAAAGAAAAAAAAGCAGAGAGGGACUUUCCUUUUCCUUCCCUCCGUCUUUUUCUUGCUGCUGUACCUGCUAGUCGUGCUCCGUCAAUGUUCUUCGACAAAAUGGAUUUUUCACAGCUUAGGUGGAUCGUACCUUUAUGUAUCCUGCUCCCCAUCUUCGGCAAAACCCAAAGUUGCUCUACGAUAAACAUAACCUGCGGAGGGACUGGGACAGGAUAUACAUACGAACACGGAGCCGGAAAGUUGAAUGGAACUGAAAUUGAAAUAAUUGUGAAUGAGAUAGUCCUGGGCAGGGGUAAUCUCGGGAUGCAAACAUUUGAGCUUGAAGGUAAUGUGACACACAUGGACAGCAACUCAGUCACCAUGAGAGACUGCCGAAACAUCAGAGUGAAAAUCCUAAGUCGUGAUGACAAUGACUUUGUAAAGGAGCAAUGCACAGAUAUCCAGGCAAUUCCAACUGAUGCAACUCCAACACCACCUGAGAAGACUCAUGAUGUGCUCUGGAUCACUUUCAGUGUAUUGGCUGUCGUGCUCGUUGCCUUCAUAACUGGGAUGCUUUGGUGUUAUAAAUCCUGGAAGAAGUCACACAGCCAAGGCCGUGUUUCAGAAUUUCUAAGAUACCUACUGACCGUCCUUUGUCUCAGAAAGGAAGAAACUGGAGCUGGUGGAGAACCUGAGCAAGGAGCUACACUUCAAACUGUGGCUGUUGUCAGCACUGACUCCAUGGCGGAUGGCAGGACUCCACUUCCUAAUGGAGACAUCCAAGCUACUACCAAUACCCAUGCCAUGAAUGGGAGCAUGAGGGAUGACCCAGGGGGAGUGAACAUUAACGAGAGAAACAGCCUUGUCUGUGGAGGACCUGAAGUUUAUCCUGAGGACCACAAGACUGACAGACUACUGCAGAGUAGAGACAUCCGAGCUCCAACCAGUGACCACACCAUGAAUGGGAACCUUAAGAAUGAUCCAGGAGGAGCAAACAGAAAUGAGAGAAACAACCUUGUCCGUGGAGGACCUGAAGUUUAUCAUGAUGCUAAAGACCACGAGACUGACAGACUACUGCAGAGUAGAUACAUCCGAGUUCCAACCAGUGACCACACCAUGAAUGGGAGCCUGUGGAAUGAUCCAGGAGGAGUGAACAGAAAUAAGAGAAACAACCUUGUCCGUGAAGGACCUGAUGUUGAUCACAGUGCUGAAGAUCACAAGACUACCGCAGAGGAUGUGGAGUCUACUCAAGAAAAAGGACAUUGAUGAACCAUAAUUCUAUAAUAAUGAUAAUAAUAAUAAUAGUAUAUUAUAAUAUAAUAGUACAAUAUUAACUAUAAUAACAAUUCACAUACAGUUGCUGUAUGGGGUAUGUUUACUGACAAGCAAGAAUUUUUUGAUAAUUCCAUUUUUUUUGUGAUUCCAGUGGAAACUGGUUUUAUAUACAUGAUGUUUUCAGAUUAAUCUGUCAGACUCACCAUAUAGUAUAUCCAUUUGGCUAUGUAAGUUCAGAUGAGCAAAACUUGCAAUUGGCAAAUCAUCCUCAAUUCCUGGUAGUUAUCAUUUUUAUUUGAAAAAAAUAAUAAUUGGAGGCUUGACCAAAAGGACGACCUUGGGUGGACCAAAAGCAUGUCAGACAACCUGCCACAUACACAGCUGGAUAGACAACUAUAAACAGUUAUACUAUAAUGUAUUAUAAACAUAUAUAUGAUAGAGUAUAGUAUGUAUUAUGUACUAUAUGUAUUAUGACUUAUAUGUUAUAUACCACAAGGGUUGCAUGAUGAUGUAGGCAAGAUACUUCUCAGCAGAAUGAAUGCUGGCAGGCACUGUAUCCAUUGUGAUAUCUCUGACUCCUUUAAAACAUCAAACAGGGCGUAUGUAUACAGUGUGGCGGUUUGGAUAGGUGUCAGGAACUUAUAGCAGUGUUGCUGUUUGUUUAGGAUGACUCUUUUAAGACUUGAGUUAUAAAUAUAACCAUCUUAGUGUAUUCAUUUGACUACAGCAUUUAAUUGAUGUCUGCAGCUUGGUGGCUUUAUGUAUACAUAUUAAUUAUGGCCAUAAUGAGUUGAACAGUUGGCAUAAUAGAUAUCGUGCAACCCUAAUAUUCCUCCCAUGUAAAAUGUGCAAUUUUAAUGGGACUUUUCUCCAUUCUGUUUGCAGCUUAUAUUUUUCAUUAUCAGUGCCUUUAUAUUGCAUGUGCUUUUAAAUCUUUUUAAAUGCGUAAUUACAAUCACCAUAUUACCAUAAUGAAAUCUUGUGAUGAUUUUUUUUAUAGAUUUUGCCAUGUAUUCAUUUUUAGCUUGUCUGUAAAGCAGUAUGUUUCAAUUGUACACCACAAGGGGGCAGUAAGUAGCCAUGGGAACUGUGACAAUGAAAACGUCGGCAGCAUAUUUCAUUUUUACUCCCCUUAUCAUUUUUGUUUGCUAACACAGAUGCAGUUAAAGCAUAUUUAUUCUUAGACAUCAGAAUAUAUGGGCUUUUGUUUGUCUGCGUUGUCAUUAAGUACUGCUACUGUGGCUAAGAUGCUUGUUUGAAUAAACCAAACCCAC